UAGCCUACGACGCUGUACGGUUGUUGGUAUACAUAUCCCGUAGAUGUAUUUUGAGACUCGUAUCCAGACCCUUUGUGUUUCAUCAGUCGCGUAUACUUCACACUUCAGGUUUCUGUGAUGAUGGAACUCCAAGUGCUAUCACUAUUUGGUAGCUUGUCUUGACUAUUAAUCGGGUCAUGGGAUAAUGGGCUUGGGAUGAUCCGGUUCCAUCUCUCCUCGGUUAUACCUGCUAGCUCAAUGUGGUCGUCGCUUUUAGUUGGGCCUUUUACGUCCGUUAGCCUGUUUGGUAUAUCUGUGGGUAAAUCAACCAGCUUAUCUGUUUGAAUUCUGCAGAGACUGCCAGAUUAGUGUACCGUGAGAUGUUUGUGUUACUCUAGGGGUAGGGGUUAAAUCCUGUCAUCCUUAGAGGACCACCAGUUGCGAAGGCGCCUACACUGGAUCGGAUCCGACGGUCAGGGACGAAGCUUAGGGGCACGAACCGGUAUUAGAUACCCUGGGUAGUCCUAUGGUGUAAACAGCUGUGAACAUUGGUGUCCGGGGAUCCGUAAUGGGUCCUCGGUGCCGGAGUGAAGAUGUUAAGUUCACUAAUUGGGGAGUGCGGUCGCAAGGCUGA
rnacentral:rRNA from 1 species